rnacentral:rRNA from 1 species
GAUGAACGCUGGCUACAGGCUUAACACAUGCAAGUCGAGGGGAAACGACGGGGAAGCUUGCUUCCCCGGGCGUCGACCGGCGCACGGGUGAGUAACGCGUAUCCAACCUGCCUCUGACUGAGGGAUAACCCGUCGAAAGUCGGCCUAAUACCUCAUGGCAUCGUCUGCGGGCAUCCAACGACGAUUAAAGAUUUCAUCGGUCAGGGAUGGGGAUGCGUCUGAUUAGCUUGUUGGCGGGGUAACGGCCCACCAAGGCUACGAUCAGUAGGGGUUCUGAGAGGAAGGUCCCCCACAUUGGAACUGAGACACGGUCCAAACGCCUACGGGAGGCAGCAGUGAGGAAUAUUGGUCAAUGGGCGGGAGCCUGAACCAGCCAAGUAGCGUGCAGGAUGACGGCCCUAUGGGUUGUAAACUGCUUUUAUGCGGGGAUAAAGUGAGGGACGUGUCCUUCAUUGCAGGUACCGCAUGAAUAAGGACCGGCUAAUUCCGUG